CUUUAAAUGGCGAGGGAGCGCGCGCUCUGAUUCGUCGGCGCCCGGAGCGUGACGUCACCGGAAGGAGCCGCAAUGGCGGCGCGCGCGGUUUGGAGGCCUAGCGGCGCGGGGCUUUUCGCGCUCAUUUCUUCGGCGAUAUAAAAACUUCGAGCCGUAUAGUCGAGUUUGUUUAUUUUAAAAACAGAAUUAAUAAUAUCGUGGAACCUCGAAUGUGCGCUGUUUAGAAGUAUAUUCAAUAUAUACACACAAAGUAGUUGUUUUCCCUCUUGUUUUGUAGUUGGCCUCACGUGUGCCCCAUUGUAACUUCAUAGCGUGCUUGCUUAUUUUAACUGUAGCCUUGUCGUCAUGUAAAGUUUAAGUAAAUAGUGUUUAAUGUAGAAAACAGCAAUUCCGAGCGUCCUCUCAAACGGGCGCGGGGUGUUGCUGUCUUUACAGCCGUCGAUGUCCAUUCCACGUUCCACAUCCGUGCUUUUAGUUACCACAACACUGUUAACUAUUUUACGACGUCGGAGCGAGAUGAUGGGCGGCUUUCAAUCCGCAAUGGGGACUUGAACCGAUAACCCGAUUGCGUCGGUGGUGAAGUAUGGUUAAACACGGCCGACUGGGACUCGAUUUACAUUGGCGGUGGUUACGUUCGGAAUGGUGCCAGUUGCUGCUACAUGAACAUAGCUCUCGACCCGUACGGUUUGGUGAAUUGUGGAUAUUGGUCGCGAAAGACCACGUGUUAAACUUUGUUUCUUCCUUGUGAUGGGACUUUGUAGGAUGAACGUUGAGAUUUAUAAGGGCACGGGGGUGACCAAUACGGCCUGAAUUGGUCUGUAAUAAGGCUAGGGGCCGGUUUGCAUUAAUCGCUGCGAUGCCACCCAUCGUUUUUGCCAGUCGGGCAUUGCGGGCCCGCUGUGUGUCCACUGCCCUGGGUUGUUGUUGACCACCACAGUUGCCGCGUGGUUUUGUUAAGAGGGCUGUGGCCCACCAAAGCUUUUGCGGAAAGAUCGAAGGUCAGGAGAGGGAUCUUUCGAGCGGGCGGGUCUCUUCCUCGAGGUCUUUGGUUCUGGCCAUGUUUUUGUGUAUUGUGGUACGGAGUUAGACUGAUGGCCUUAAUCUUAGUUGUCUUGUGGUUGUUCUUGUUGUUUGACUUGCAUCCCACUGGGAUUUUUGCACACAGCGUUGGUGUACGGUGCUAUUUCAGGAAUAUUUUGAUGUUUUUUCCUGGAUUUUCUGUUUGCACAGAGUCACAGUCACUGUAAGAUGUUUUCUUGUUCAUGUUUUUGUUUGUUGCGGUUGCACCCAAUUCAAGAGCCGAAUGGCUCACAGGGCUAUACCAAAUAAAUGAACUAUGGAACUUCCCGUGAACUUCCUCCCCCCCCCCCCAUUUUUGGCUUUCCCGAGGAUCGGCCGUCGUGGUUUUAAUGGCGAUUCGUCUCGUCGUCGUCCUCAUCAUCACCGGGCGGUGGUGGCGGCGGCGGCUUCCAGUUUGUGGGCAAGAGAAACGAAACGAGCAAGGACGUUGCAAGUGGUGUUGCGAAGCCACCCUGGAAAUGGGCUGGAGGAUUUGAGUGCAAUUUGUGUUUUGUAUGCAGAAAGACGACACUUUUAUUACAAACAUUUACUCCUUGUUUAGAUUUUGGUUUUGUCUUGAUGAAUAUGUGAAUGAUAAACAUACAGCCGUUUUGUCAAUACAUUGUUGGAUGAAGGCCUCGACAAUGGUGGGCAUGCAUUUGAGAAAUGUUAUUGGAUUUUCAUUUUUAACAUUUUUGUAAAUAUUCCUCAAAUAUGUUUUUUAGUAAGAGCCAGAAUACAGGUAGUCCUCUACUUACGAUGGAGAUGCGUUACGACGACCCCAUCGUAAGUCAAAAAUAUCGUAAGUCGAAGAUGGCCUCGCCUACCCAGGAGUCUUAAAGAAUGGUGAUAAUUUAGCAAAACAGAGCAAUUUACAGUACCGUACUGUAUAAACUAUAUACUGUAUGUAUUUAUGUGUUUUUAUCGUACCUCGUACGCUGCUGCGUUUGCCUGCCGUGCGACAUUGCAAAUAUUUUACAAUUUUGUCGUAUCGCCACCGUAAGAUCGAAAUAUCGUAAGUCGGACCGUUGUAACUCGUGGACUGUAUUUUUGUCAGUUUGGCUUUGGACUAAACACAAGCAUUAAAGUUUGCUUUAAAAAA